rnacentral:sRNA from 1 species
AUAAAUAACAUUUGUACCGCAGACAGUAGGGGCCAUACGGCUUAAACUUCCCUACCGAGGUCAUACGAUAGAUGAAAGAUUUAGUUGUACUACGACUAUUGUAUACUCCCUCCAUGUCUGUUAGAUGUGGAGGUUUUUUAUUG